rnacentral:ncRNA from 1 species
CCUCCGUUCUCCCCGCACAGGAGAACGGACCGAGGCACCCGGCGCUCUCUGCCCUGACUGCGCAAGGUGUCUCAUGUGGCCGGAGGCACCGCACACCGCCGGCCAGGUAGCUCCGGGCUGCGGUGCCGGAUGGGCUGAGGGUCCCAUCCCGGCGC